rnacentral:rRNA from 1 species
GCUAAACGCGAAGAACCUUACCAAGGCUUGACAUCCUCCUGCUGGGCUCGUAAUGGAGUCUUUCCCUUCGGGGACGGGAGAGACAGGUGGUGCAUGGUUGUCGUCAGCUCGUGUCGUGAGAUGUUGGGUUAAGUCCCGCAACGAGCGCAACCCUUGUCCUUAGUUGCCAGCGAGUAAUGUCGGGAACUCUAAGGAGACUGCCGGUGACAAACCGGAGGAAGGUGGGGAUGACGUCAAGUCCUCAUGGCCCUUACGGCCAGGGCUACACACGUACUACAAUGGUCGGUACAGAGGGUUGCUAAACCGCAAGGUGGAGCCAAUCCCAGAAAGCCGAUCCCAGUCCGGAUCGGAGUCUGCAACUCGACUCCGUGAAGUCGGAAUCGCUAGUAAUCGCGGAUCAGCUAUGCCGCGGUGAAUACGUUCCCGGGUCUUGUACACACCG